rnacentral:rRNA from 1 species
GCGACGACGGGUAGCCGGCCUGAGAGGGUGACCGGCCACACUGGGACUGAGACACGGCCCAGACUCCUACGGGAGGCAGCAGUAGGGAAUCUUCCGCAAUGGACGAAAGUCUGACGGAGCAACGCCGCGUGAGUGAUGAAGGUUUUCGGAUCGUAAAGCUCUGUUGUUAGGGAAGAACAAGUACCGUUCGAAUAGGGCGGUACCUUGACGGUACCUAACCAGAAAGCCACGGCUAACUACGUG